AGUUAAUAAAUUUAAAUUUAUAUUUUGAAAAUAUAAUUAAGGAAUUAAAUUAUCCUAUUAACUU
rnacentral:tRNA from 1 species